rnacentral:rRNA from 1 species
CACGUAGGCGGAUUGUUAAGUCAGGGGUGAAAUCCUGGAGCUCAACUCCAGAACUGCCUUUGAUACUGGCGAUCUUGAGUCCGGGAGAGGUGAGUGGAACUGCGAGUGUAGAGGUGAAAUUCGUAGAUAUUCGCAAGAACACCAGUGGCGAAGGCGGCUCACUGGCCCGGUACUGACGCUGAGGUGCGAAAGCGUGGGAGCAACA